CUUUGCUAUAUUUCUGGGACGAGAUGGUGAUCAGGAUUAUCAGGGUCUGGUGAAAAUACCGGACAAAGGCGAACCGGCAUUGAGCAUCUAUACCUCAACCAUCGUUAUCCCAGCCGUGCCAUGGGUGAAUAAAGAUGCAGUUCUUCAGAUAAUCUACAAGACGAUGAACUCAGACGCGCCUCCGGCAUUUUACCAGUGCGCAGACGUUAGGAUUUUGCCCAAAAAUUGAGGAAACGAAUCUCCAUACUACACAUAGUGAAAUGUGUGUCCUUAAUAACACAUAUACAAUAGCUAAUUAAGUAAUGAGUUUAAGGAUAUAUGCUACCUUACUGUAAAUUGUAAACAAGAGUUCCAAGCUUAGAUAAACUAUAAAUGAUAUUUUAUAAAUAAAAUCAAGUGAUCUUGAUCAAUUUUUGGAUGGUAAAUUUAAAAUAACAUAAGAAUAAAUUAAACAUUAAUGAUUCCCAGCCUAUUCUGUACUAAAGUAAGUGUAAGGUAGCAUAUAUUCAAAGAACAUUGCCCCAUGUUUUUCAUACGGGUAUUUUUGAAGGUGUAUGUUGUAAUACCAGUGUGAAUGUGACAUUGUUUAUAUGACAAAUUGUAUGCUUCAUAUCUAAUAGAUAUUUAUUUCUAAGAUGAUGAUUGAACAGUUUUUUUCAGAUAACAUGCAUUUGUAUUUGUGUUUCUAGAAUUGACUAGAUAAUACUUCACUGGUAUUGAAAAUUAUUGGUGAUGAAAAUGUUUUUUUAACUUUUUACUGACUAUCAGUAUUCAUAAUCACAGUAUGAAACAAUAUACUUAAGAUUAUAAGAUGUUUGAACCAGAUUCUUGAUUCACCUAAAAAUGGACGUAUAUAUUGCUGUUUGUGCGUCAAGUUCAUUGACGGUCUAGUAAUUCACCUGAAAUUUGAAAUUUUGCCCCAUGUUUUUAUCAGAAAAAGAAUCUUUGGCCAACGUGAACGUUUCAAUUAAAUGUAAAAAAAAAAUAAGCAUAUACUAGUGUAUAUACACACAGUAUUGCAUUAAAUCCGUGCAUUCGUACACCGAUAACAAUGAAUGGAACAUGCAGGUAAAUUUCCAUUCCUGAUACAGAGUCGUCCACAUUCCAGGCACGUUUGACUUGGCGAGAAUGUCUUAUUUGUUCAUACCAUAUUUUUUUUGAAUAUUGAUUCUUCAUGUAGUUAAAUCCAGGAAAUGCUAUAUUUUAAUACACCAUAUUUAUUUGAUGAGGUUCUCUUUUUUAAUAAAUAUCUAUUUUGCAUA